CACCUGUUAUAAGAGCCUGGAGCCGCUAUCCCGACGGCAGUACCUACAAAACCUGCGGGUCGUCGUUGCGGUCGUUCUCUGCGUCAUUUUUAGUUGAGACCCCGAGAGAGAUUACCACAGCCCGGCAAGCUUGGAAGGCAACGCUCGAAGAUGCGGCUGUUUCUACUGCUGCUGCUGGUAGCUCUAGCAGUGGGUGCUUAUCAAAAGGUUGACCAAAAUGAGAGGCAGGACCAAGGCGCCCCAGACUUGACAGCCGAAGACACAUCCCUUGACAGGUACGAGAGGGAUGUCAAAAGGGGUAAACAAACAUGAAGAAAGAACAAACCAACAAAGAAAAC